UGGGACUUUAGGGAAUUCCCAGCAGCUGCUGAAACCACCUUUAUCUCAAGGAUCUUCCCUUCCCUCCUCUUCUUGGCAUCAGCUGCUGUCCCUCUGUCUCAAGGGAAGCAGCAUCUGGGAAGUCGACAGACUUCAAGGACUGGGUAAGUCAACUAGAGUGCACCUGGAAAUCCUCUGUCUCUGGCCUCUGGGCUCUCCAGCUAUCUACAGCAGUAUUGGUCGUCUGUGCUGCCAUCUUGGCCUCUGUGCCAUCUAGACCUAACACAGGAAAUAAGAUGCUGCUAAAAUCCUGAGAAAACCAAGGGCCAGACCAAUAGCUAGCCAAAGAGUGGACAGGACCUCAUGAUGGCAUAGGAUGGUUGACAGUGGUGCAAAUCCAGGUAAAGCAUUUUUUUGAUGCAUGCUCUAUGCAUCAAAAAACACAACAGCAGCAUACUCCAUGAUAUGAGAUGGUUAUCUCUUCAACAAUGUGACAAAACUCUUCAACUGACUGAUAAUAUGUGGCUAGGAUGGCAAAAUCAGAGUAGUCUUUGUAACAGAGCCUAUCCUUCCUCCUGGGUUUGGCUGUGGGCCUGAAGCCCUCAUGGUUGGCCUUACUUAUCUUAUAACUGGACUGGCAGAUGCACCUGCAGGCACCCUUACCCACCAGGAUGUAUCCUGUCCCAUCUAGACUCUCCCUGCCAAUUGGGAAAGCAUAGCUAGACACUGCCAUAAAAAAUGAUCAUUCCCAGUUGUUCUACCCACUAGCCAUCUUUUCCUCCCAGGCGGCAGCCAAAUAUAUAUCAUUACAAAUAGAGGCCCUGGCUAAACAUAUGACCACUGCCUUUAAUAACACCCAUCAUGCCAUCACCCUUCUCACAAAAGAAAGCUCACAGAUUAGACAAGUGGCCCUGUAGAAAUGUGUGGCCUUAGGCAUCCUGACUGCAGCCCAAGGAAGCACUUGUGCACUGAUAAGACUGAAUGUUAUAUAUAUAUACCAGAUUAUUCUCAUUAAAACCCAAGCUAUACAUGCAUUGGACACCCAUAUUUCUACUAUCAAUGUUCUCUCCCAGGACCCCAUAACAGCAUGGUUUAGUCAACUUCCUAAUGCAUGACAGACUUUUAUGUACAGUACAAUUGGUAUUCCGUUCAUUGUCCUCUUUGUCUGUUGUGGACUUUAUUACUAUUAUGUACUUUGCAUGGGGAUGCAGGACAGACUUUCUCAGAAGCUUCUAGGUCCUCACAGCAUAAUGCUCCAGCAAGUUCCUGCUGUGAGUCUGGGGACUGGAGACUAUUUCCAAGGCCAGGUUAAUGAAUUCCAUUCUGAUACCCCUACUACAGCCCUUUGCAGCAGGAAGUGGACAGAUCGACUGUGUCACCCACUUUCCAUAGAAAUGAAAUGGAAUUUGACAGUGGGGAAUUGUAACUGAGUAUCUCAGUCUCAAAUGCAUUUUCAAACUUUUUUCUUUCUUUCUUGCCUUAGGCCUUGACAUACUUUGAAACUCUUUGUUUCUCCCUUUUCCACCAGGCACUUCUGUGAACAGUGUUCACUUACCUAAUUAUGUGCUUGCUUAGAAAUUCCAGGGGUCAAUUUUGAAACAAACCAGGCAGCGAGACCCCAGCGUAGAAUCCUCUCAGUCAAGGGGAGUUAGGAAUAGUGAGCCCACCACCACCAUGCCAAAGUCAGGAUGAUGCAAACUGGAUCUCCUGAUGGGUGACUACUCAAGAUAACCAUGGAAAUGAGACAUGCAGAUCCCCUUUUCACCACUCUCACAUGUUUCUCACACCUUUUCCUUCUUAAGCCCCUCUCUCAGCCCAGGAGAAUGAGAUGGCUCCUUUAAGGCUUAAGCCCAGCCAUUCUCACAUCUGCCAACAUUUGACCAAUAAAAUCUGCUUUCCUUCUACCACACCUCACUUCUCAUGCUUUGACUUCUGAGUGAUGAGCAGCUGGACUUGAGCCGGUUACAGGAGGCUAAAAAAGAGUCAUUAAAGUGAGAGGCUCCAUGUGGGUGGUGUGCCUGGGAUUGAGAAGUAUGGUGAACUCAGAUCUCAUCCAGAAAAGAAGGCCAACCACUUAUGGGAUCACUCACAAUUAUGAAUGCAUCCAUUGCCCCAGUAAAAGAGAAAGACAUUGAUAAACAAAGAGAAAUUGCCCUCUUUUCUCAGCCCCACUCCCUGCCUCUGUGCAGCAGUUCAUUUCCUCAGCACUAGAGUUCCAUACACCAGGGAUGGCAGACACAAACGUCUUGGGGCCAGGCAAAAAAAGGUGACUCUUAAUACCUCCAGCACAUCUGUAGGAUGCAGUGGGAGGUGUCCUUCCAAGAUCCUGUUCUGAUAAUUAGUCAGUUUUCCAGCAACGUCCUUUUUUUUUUUUUUUUUUUUUUGGCUGAAUGCACACGGGCUUUGUCUUAUGGGAGUUCCAAACAUGGGUCCUCUGGUCCCCACCCACUGGGGUAUUAGCUGAUUCCUGAACUGAACUCAUUGUAUUCUGAUUACAGUGGCUUUCUAGAAAGGUGUGACAUCUAGUCAGAAAAGUGCUUCUCAUGUUUUUGCUGAAACCUGGAGUCUUGUUAAAAGGCAGAUUCUGAUAGGCAGGUCUGGGUGGGCUUUGUGAUCCUGAGCCCUUAAGAGUCUCUUCGGCAAUGUAGUUGCUGCUGGUCCUGGUUUGAGGACCAUGCUGAAUAAUGAGCUCUAGAGCUCAUUUUGCUUCUACUUUUUUCACUCUGUGCUGUUUUUAAGAUCUUCCCAUGUUGCAUGGCUUCUGAUGGGUAAAUAAUCUAUUCCAUGGCGUGCACUCCCCAGUUUUCUGAUCCAGUCAUUCUGAAAUGGACCCUGGCUGCUUUUAGCUCCUCACACAGCUGUGCUGAGGGCAGCAUCUGCACGGUGACCCCCACCGGCUGCAGGAGAGCUUGCCUAGGGUGUGAGCAUACACUUAAUUUGUAGAGGCCCCCCUCCUUGGUUGACAGUGGCAGAAACAUAUCAGCCUCUGAGCACCCACGCCAAGAAGCAAUGCCAACACUUGGCAUACCCAGUGUUUUGUUAUUCCGAUGGGCUAAAGUGACCCACUUCUGUGUAAUUUCCAUUUUCCAACAAAUCAUGUAUUCUCUUCAUGUUUGGGAGCACUUGGAGUUUCUUUCUGUUUUUGCCUAUUUUCAUCCUUUGUUUGCUUUUCUAAUACAGUUGUAAUCUUCCAUUUGGUAAUUUACAGGGAUAUAUCUGUAUCUGUGUAUAUUACACUAGAUAGCAGUCCUUUUUCCAUUUCAGAUAUUGAAUAUAUCUUGCUCCAGUCCAUUACUUGCCCGUUAAGUUUGUCUCAAGUGUCCUUUGUUGAGCAGAAAUCCUUGAUGUAAACAAAUUCAUCCCUUUGGCCUGAUGAUUUUUACUUUCUGGGUUUUAAGAAGUCCUUACUCACCUCUCUGUCGUAAUUCUCCCACGUCAUUUUUUAUUCACUUGUGGUUUUAUUUUUUACUUUUAAGGUUUUUAAUGUUUCUAGAAGCUACCUCUGUAUGUAAUGAUUAUAGAGAAAAAUAAA
rnacentral:lncRNA from 10 species